rnacentral:rRNA from 1 species
GGAGUCUGGGCCGUGUCUCAGUCCCAAUGUGGCCGUUCACCCUCUCAGGCCGGCUACCGAUCGUCGCCUUGGUGGGCCGUUGCCCCCCCCAACUAGCUAAUCGGACGCGGGCCCAUCGGAAAGCGGAUUGAAUCCUUUAAUAUACAAGGCAUGCGCCUUAUAUACAACAUUCGGUAUUAGCACCCCUUUCGGGAUGUUGUCCCCAUCUUUCCGGUAGGUUGCCCACGCGUUACUCACCCGUUUGCCACUAGGCUUUCAUAGCAAGCUAUUCAGCCCCGUUCGACUUGCAUGUGUUAAGCACGCCGCCAGCGUUCGUCCUCGAGCCAUGAUCAAACUCU